CGGAGUUAGCCGGUGCUUAUUCAUAUGCUACCGUCAUUUUCUUGACAUAUAAAAGGAGUUUACACACCGAAAUGCGUCAUCCUCCACGCGGCGUUGCUGCAUCAGGGUUUCCCCCAUUGUGCAAUAUUCCUCA
rnacentral:rRNA from 1 species